UGGGGGAUAACGUAGGGAAACUUACGCUAAUACCGCAUACGACCUACGGGUGAAAGCAGGGGANCUUCGGACCUUGCGCGAUUGAAUGAGCCGAUGUCGGAUUAGCUAGUUGGCGGGGUAAAGGCCCACCAAGGCGACGAUCCGUAGCUGGUCUGAGAGGAUGAUCAGCCACACUGGAACUGAGACACGGUCCAGACUCCUACGGGAGGCAGCAGUGGGGAAUAUUGGACAAUGGGCGCAAGCCUGAUCCAGCCAUACCGCGUGGGUGAAGAAGGCCUUCGGGUUGUAAAGCCCUUUUGUUGGGAAAGAAAUCCAGCCGGNUAAUACCUGGUUGGGAUGACGGUACCCAAAGAAUAAGCACCGGCUAACUUCGUGCCAGCAGCCGCGGUAAUACGAAGGGUGCAAGCGUUACUCGGAAUUACUGGGCGUAAAGCGUGCGUAGGUGGUUGUUUAAGUCUGUUGUGAAAGCCCUGGGCUCAACCUGGGAACUGCAGUGGAAACUGGACAACUAGAGUGUGGUAGAGGGUAGCGGAAUUCCCGGUGUAGCAGUGAAAUGCGUA
rnacentral:rRNA from 1 species